AUUGAACGCUGGCGGCAGGCUUAACACAUGCAAGUCGAGCGGAGAUGAGGUGCUUGCACCUUAUCUUAGCGGCGGACGAGUGAGUAAUGCUUAGGAAUCUGCCUAUUAGUGGGGGACAACAUUCAGAAAGGAAUGCUAAUACCGCAUACGCCCUACGGGGAAAGCAGGGGAUCUUCGGACCUUGCGCUAAUAGAUGAGCCUAAGUCGGAUGAGCUAGUUGGUGGGGUAAAGGCCUAACAAGGCGACGAUCUGUGGCGGGUCGGAGAGGAUGAUCCGCCACACUGGGACUGAGACACGGCCCAGACUCCUACGGGAGGCAGCAGUGGGGAAUAUUGGACAAUGGGCGGAAGCCUGAUCCAGCCAUGCCGCGUGUGUGAAGAAGGCCUUUUGGUUGUAAAGCACUUUAAGCGAGGAGGAGGCUACCUGGAUUAAUACUCUAGGAUAGUGGACGUUACUCGCAGAAUAAGCACCGGCUAACUCUGUGCCAGCAGCCGCAGUAACAC
rnacentral:rRNA from 1 species